rnacentral:rRNA from 1 species
UGGUUAAAAAGCUCGUAGUUGGAUCUCAACAGCCUUGAAGCGGUUAACUUUGUAGUUUUACUGCUUUAUAGGCUGUGCUUUUGCUGGAGGUUUAGGGGUGCUCUUGAUCGAGUGUCUCUGGAUGCCCGCAGGUUUACUUUGAAAAAAUUAGAGUGCUCAAAGCAGGCUAAAAUGCCUGAAUAUUCGUGCAUGGAAUAAUAGAAUAGGAUGUCGAUCCUAUUUUGUUGGUUUUCGGGACUCGACAUAAUGAUAAAUAGGGACAGUCGGGGGCAUUUGUAUUCAAACGACAGAGGUGAAAUUCUUGGACCGUUUGAAGACAAACUACUGCGAAAGCAUUUGCCAAGAAUGUUUUCAUUAAUCAAGAACGAAAGUUAGAGGUUCGAAGGCGAUUAGAUACCGCCCUAGUUCUAACCAUAAACGAUGCCAGCUAGCGAUCUGCCUGCGUUUUUACUGUAGACUGGGCAGGAAGCUUCCGGGAAACCAAAGCAUUUGGGUUCCAGGGGAAGUAUGGUUGCAAAGCUGAAACUUAAAGGAAUUGACGGAAGGGCACACCAGGAGUGGAGCCUGUGGCUUAAUUUGACUCAA